UUUUUUCUUUCCUUUGUAUGCAUCUCAAAGCCACAUAUGGAAACUAAGAGAUCUUGUACACAUUCUAGAAGCUUCUCCACACGUCCAGUGGUACACUUUCCCCACUUGAUCAUGCAAAGACCAAACUUGCCAUAUUUGGAUCUAGAAGGUUUAAUUCACAAAAACUCUUUUCUUGUCACUGCUGCUGCGUUUUUAAGGCCC